rnacentral:rRNA from 1 species
GAAUUUUACUAGGUCAGGACAAUGUAUGGAUUUACAGAUUGAGAGCUCUUUCUCGAUCCGUUGUGUGUUGGUGCAUGGCCGCUCCUGGUUGGUGGAGUGAUUUGUCUGGUUGAUUCCGUUAACGAACGAGAUCUCGACCCUUAAAUAGGUCUCUCGUCGACUGUAGUCUUGCGGGUGCUAGCUCGCUGGAUAACCCCGGGACGAGACUGGGGGGAAACUUCUUAAGGGGACUGUGUGCGUAUAUAGCACGCGGAGGAGCGAGCCAAUAGCAGGUCUGUGAUGCUGCUAAAUGUCCUAGGCUGCACGCGCACUACACUGAUGCAAUAAACGAGUCUGAGUGCCUCCUGGCAACCUACCUGGAAGCGGGUGGGAAAUCUUUUGAACUUGCAUCGUGAUGAGGAUAGACGAUUGCAAUUAUUCUCCUUGAAUGAGGAAUGCCUAGUAGGCACAAGUCAUCAGCUUGUACUGAUUACGUCCCUGCCAUUUGUACACACCGCCCGUCGUUGCUACUGAUUGGCUGUAGGGUAGAGAUGGGCGGAUCUCGAGCAGUUGGGGCGACCUUUCUGUUUGGGAGAAACCUAUCAAUAUUCUGCAGCUAGAAGAAGCAAAAGUCGUAACAAGGUUGCUGUAGGUGAACCUGCAGCAGGAUCAUUACCAAA